rnacentral:rRNA from 1 species
CAGGGCGAAGCCUGAGGAGCACGCCGCGGUGAACGAUGAAGGUUUUCGGAUCGUAAAGUUCUGUUAUGAGGGAAGAACACGUGCCGUUCGAAUAGGGCGGCACCUUGACGGUACCUCACGAGAAAGCCCCGGCUAACUACGUGCCAGCAGCCGCGGUAAUACGAA